CGCCUUGCCAGCCCGCUCAGAAACUUAAAGGAAUUGACGGGGCCGCACAAGCGGUGGAGCAUGUGGUUUAAUUCGAUGAUACGCGAGGAACCUUACCUGGGCUCAAAUGUAUGUUGACGUAUUCUGAAAGGGAUACUUCUUCGGACAAUAUACAAGGUGCUGCAUGGUUGUCGUCAGCUCGUGCCGUGAGGUGUCGGGUUAAGUCCCAUAACGAGCGCAACCCCUAUCAUUAGUUGCCAUCAGGUCAAGCUGGGGACUCUAAAGGAACUGCCUACGCAAGUAGUGAGGAAGGCGGGGAUGACGUCAAAUCAGCACGGCCCUUACGUCCAGGGCUACACACGUGCUACAAUGGCCGAUACAGAGGGCAGCUACCUGGUGACAGGAUGCAAAUCUCCAAAGUCGGUCUCAGUUCGGAUCGGAGUCUGCAACCCGACUCCGUGAAGUUGGAAUCGCUAGUAAUCGUGGAUCAGCAUGCCACGGUGAAUACGUUCCCGGGCCUU
rnacentral:rRNA from 1 species